ensembl:snRNA U6 U6 spliceosomal RNA
GUGCUUGCUUUGGCAGCAUAUAUACUAAAAUUGGAACGAUACAGAGAAGAUUAGCAUGGCCCCUUUGCAAGGAUGACACACAAAUUCAUGAAACAUUCCAUAUUUUA